GACGAACGCUGGCGGCGUGCUUAACACAUGCAAGUCGAACGGAAAGGCCCUGCUUGCAGGGUACUCGAGUGGCGAACGGGUGAGUAACACGUGGGUGAUCUGCCCUGCACUUCGGGAUAAGCCUGGGCAACUGGGUCUAAUACCGGAUAGGAGCCAUUUUUAGUGUGAUGGUUGGAAAGUUUUUUCGGUGUAGGAUGAGCUCGCGGCCUAUCAGCUUGUUGGUGGGGUAAUGGCCUACCAAGGCGGCGACGGGUAGCCCGCCUGAGAGGGUGGCCGGCCACAUUGGGACUGAGAUACGGCCCAGACACCUACGGGAGGCAGCAGUGGGGAAUAUUGCACAAGGGGCGCAAGCCUGAUGCAGCGGCGCCGCGUGGGGGAUGACGGCCUUCGGGUUGUAAACUCCUUUCGCUAGGGACGAAGCUUUUUGCGACGGUACCUAGAUAAGAAGCACCGGCUAACUACGUG
rnacentral:rRNA from 1 species